rnacentral:rRNA from 1 species
AGAGUUUGAUCAUGGCUCAGAUUGAACGCUGGCGGCAUGCCUUACACAUGCAAGUCGAACGGUAACGGGCCUUCGGGUGCCGACGAGUGGCGAACGGGUGAGUAAUGCAUCGGAACGUACCUUUCAGUGGGGAUAACGUAGCGAAAGUUACGCUAAUACCGCAUAUUCUGUGAGCAGGGAAGCAGGGGAUCGCAAGACCUUGCGCUGAUUGAGCGGCCGAUGUCAGAUUAGCUAGUUGGUGAGGUAAAGGCUCACCAAGGCGACGAUCUGUAGCGGGUCUGAGAGGAUGAUCCGCCACACUGGAACUGAGACACGGUCCAGACUCCUACGGGAGGCAGCAGUGGGGAAUUUUGGACAAUGGGGCAACCCUGAUCCAGCCAUGCCGCGUGAGUGAAGAAGGCCUUCGGGUUGUAAAGCUCUUUCGGCCGGGAAGAAAUCGCAUGGGUUAAUACCCUGUGCGGAUGACGGUACCGGCAUAAGAAGCACCGGCUAACUACGUG